rnacentral:tRNA from 1 species
GCCGAAGUGGCGGAACUGGCAGACGCGCUGCGUUCAGGGCGCAGUGCCCGCAAGGGCGUGUGGGUUCGAAUCCCACCUUCGGCACCA